GGGAAUAUUGGGCAAUGGGCGCAAGCCUGACCCAGCAACGCCGCGUGAAGGAAGAAGGCUUUCGGGUUGUAAACUUCUUUUAAGAGGGAAGAGCAGAAGACGGUACCUCUUGAAUAAGCCACGGCUAACUACGUGCCAGCAGCCGCGGUAAUACGGAGGAUCCAAGCGUUAUCCGGAUUUAUUGGGUUUAAAGGGUGCGUAGGCGGCAGAUUAAGUUAGAGGUGAAAUUCCGAGGCUCAACCUUGGCACUGCCUCUGAUACUGGUUUGCUAGCGAGUAGAUGCUGUAGGCGGAAUGUGUGGUGUAGCGGUGAAAUGCAUAGAGAUCACACAGAACACCGAUUGCGAAGGCAGCUUACAAAUCUAUAUCGGACGCUGAGGCACGAAAGCGUGGGGAGCAAACAA
rnacentral:rRNA from 1 species